rnacentral:rRNA from 1 species
AACGAACGCUGGCGGCAGGCUUAACACAUGCAAGUCGAGCGCCCCGCAAGGGGAGCGGCAGACGGGUGAGUAACGCGUGGGAAUCUACCCAUCUCUACGGAAUAACGCAUGGAAACGUGUGCUAAUACCGUAUACGUCCUUCGGGAGAAAGAUUUAUCGGAGAUGGAUGAGCCCGCGUUGGAUUAGCUAGUUGGUGGGGUAAAGGCCUACCAAGGCGACGAUCCAUAGCUGGUCCGAGAGGAUGAUCAGCCACACUGGGACUGAGACACGGCCCAGACUCCUACGGGAGGCAGCAGUGGGGAAUAUUGGACAAUGGGCGCAAGCCGGAUCCAGCCAUGCCGCGUGAGUGAUGAAGGCCCUAGGGUUGUAAAGCUCUUUCACCGGUGAAGAUAAUGACGGUAACCGGAGAAGAAGCCCCGGCUAACUUCGUGCCAGCAGCCGCCGUAACAC